rnacentral:rRNA from 1 species
AUUGAACGCUGGCGGCAGGCUUAACACAUGCAAGUCGAGCGGGGAAGGGUAGCUUGCUACCUAACCUAGCGGCGGACGGGUGAGUAAUGCUUAGGAAUCUGCCUAUUAGUGGGGGACAACAUUCCGAAAGGAAUGCUAAUACCGCAUACGCCCUACGGGGGAAAGCAGGGGAUCUUCGGACCUUGCGCUAAUAGAUGAGCCUAAGUCAGAUUAGCUAGUUGGUGGGGUAAAGGCCUACCAAGGCGACGAUCUGUAGCGGGUCUGAGAGGAUGAUCCGCCACACUGGGACUGAGACACGGCCCAGACUCCUACGGGAGGCAGCAGUGGGGAAUAUUGGACAAUGGGCGCAAGCCUGAUCCAGCCAUGCCGCGUGUGUGAAGAAGGCCUUUUGGUUGUAAAGCACUUUAAGCGAGGAGGAGGCUACUGGUAUUAAUACUACCGGAUAGUGGACGUUACUCGCAGAAUAAGCACCGGCUAACUCUGUGCCAGCCGCCGCCGUAACAC